UUAACACAUGCAAGUCGAACGGAAAGGCCCUGCUUUUGUGGGGUGCUCGAGUGGCGAACGGGUGAGUAACACGUGAGUAACCUGCCCUUGACUUUGGGAUAACUUCAGGAAACUGGGGCUAAUACCGGAUAGGAGCUCCUGCUGCAUGGUGGGGGUUGGAAAGUUUCGGCGGUUGGGGAUGGACUCGCGGCUUAUCAGCUUGUUGGUGGGGUAGUGGCUUACCAAGGCUUUGACGGGUAGCCGGCCUGAGAGGGUGACCGGCCACAUUGGGACUGAGAUACGGCCCAGACUCCUACGGGAGGCAGCAGUGGGGAAUAUUGCACAAUGGGCGGAAGCCUGAUGCAGCAACGCCGCGUGCGGGAUGACGGCCUUCGGGUUGUAAACCGCUUUCGCCUGUGACGAAGCGUGAGUGACGGUAAUGGGUAAAGAAGCACCGGCUAACUACGUGCCGGCAGCCGCGGUGAUACGUAGGGUGCGAGCGUUGUCCGGAUUUAUUGGGCGUAAAGGGCUCGUAGGUGGUUGAUCGCGUCGGAAGUGUAAUCUUGGGGCUUAACCCUGAGCGUGCUUUCGAUACGGGUUGACUUGAGGAAGGUAGGGGAGAAUGGAAUUCCUGGUGGAGCGGUGGAAUGCGCAGAUAUCAGGAGGAACACCAGUGGCGAAGGCGGUUCUCUGGGCCUUUCCUGACGCUGAGGAGCGAAAGCGUGGGGAGCGAACAGGCUUAGAUACCCUGGUAGUCCACGCUGUAAACGGUGGGUACUAGGUGUGGGGUCCAUUCCACGGGUUCCGUGCCGUAGCUAACGCUUUAAGUACCCCGCCUGGGGAGUACGGCCGCAAGGCUAAAACUCAAAGGAAUUGACGGGGCCCCGCACAAGCGGCGGAGCAUGCGGAUUAAUUCGAUGCAACGCGUAGAACCUUACCUGGGUUUGACAUGGAUCGGGAGUGCUCAGAGAUGGGUGUGCCUCUUUUGGGGUCGGUUCACAGGUGGUGCAUGCCUGUCGUCAGCUCGUGUCGUGAGAUGUUGGGUUAAGUCCCGCAACGAGCGCAACCCUUGUUCACUGUUGCCAGCACGUUAUGGUGGGGACUCAGUGGAGACCGCCGGGGUCAACUCGGAGGAAGGUGGGGAUGACGUCAAGUCCUCAUGCCCCUUAUGUCCAGGGCUUCACGCAUGCUACAAUGGCUGGUACAGAGAGUGGCGAGCCUGUGAGGGUGAGCGAAUCUCGGAAAGCCGGUCUCAGUUCGGAUUGGGGUCUGCAACUCGACCUCAUGAAGUCGGAGUCGCUAGUAAUCGCAGAUCAGCAACGCUGCGGUGAAUACGUUCCCGGGGCUUGUACACACCGCCCGUCAAGUCAUGAAAGUUGGUAACACCCGAAGCCGGUGGCCUAACCGUUGUGGGGGAGCCGUCGAAGGUGGGACUGGUGAUUAGGACUAAGUCG
rnacentral:rRNA from 1 species